GAAGAUGACACAACAGUAAAUGAUAUGUAUGGGACUGCUACAGCAUCUGAACGACAGGUAUCACCAGAAGAGCAAACUGCGAGUUCAAAUGCAUGGCCACCAGGGACUAUUUGGUGUCCAAUUUGCAUGGAUUUGUACUCAAAGAUUCUGCGGAGUG